rnacentral:sRNA from 1 species
UUGCAUUAGGGGUUGAAGUGAAAAUCCUUUUUUGAGGUAUUUCUCCGAAAAAAAGAUUGAAACGAAAAACCCGACCCGCC